AGAAGAUAUAGUUGUAAAAAAGAUUGAAUGUUAAUUUGAAAGAAGCAAACAAGUAGAAUAUUUGUUUGACACUCUGGAGAUGUCUGCAUGUGCAGACAGAUUUUCUCAUUUAGUAGGCAGAGGGGACAGGGGAAGAGUCCCUGGCUUGUCCCAGCACUCAACUUUCACCUGUUGCUUUCCCCACCUGCCACGCCUGAGUGUCCCCUCCUGGUCUCCCAGAACCCCGAGGCUUGGCCUGAGCUCACGCCCUGCCGACAGUCAGGACCUGGGGGCGCUCCAGGCUCCUCCUGGCAAAGUCUUCCUUCACCUGUGCCCUGGUGGAGGAGCUGCCUCCUGCCUUUGCUUUUGGGAAAACAAACGGAAGGGAUGGAACAGCCUAGCCGGAACAAGCCCCUUUGUCCAUCACAAGGGAGUUUCCCGUCAAGCUGUUUUUUGCCUCCAAAAUGGAAAAUCGUAACAACCGAGUGUAUAGUUCCCCACCACACAAACAAAUAGUCCCUCAUCCCUCUUCAUUUGCUAGGAGAAAAAGUCCAAGAAAGACUCAUUGUCCAGGGGGAGCCAUGGGGGUGUCUUUGUCCAGAUGGGCUCUACACCGGCACACGGGAACAGACGCUCCGCCUAAACUGUUGGGCCGUAUCAGCGACCCCUUCAAUGUGGGGACCGGGGCCCCCCCGAUCUAGCCCCUGGGGACUCCCAGGUGCAGAGAGCAGCACAGAAGCCCACCUUCAGGGCCCCUCAGUCCACAGUUUUGGGGUUGGGGUGGAGGGAGGAGUGGAAAGUGUUUUGGUCUUAUGUUAUGUUUUGCUUCUUUUCUGUGUCCCCUGUCUGCACAUUGUACUUGAAUUACUUCAGUUUUUUGUGACCUCAUGAGCUUUUUUCACCCCCUGCUUUUUUUGGGGGAGGGGUUAGGGGGUUGGAGGAACGGGGAGGAUGUCCUUUUCUGUUUCUUGUGUAAAUCAAUAGUUCAUAGACUUCAGCUGGCCUGGGCCUCCCAGCCACAAGGCGCUGUAUGGCGGAGUCAAGUGCUCAGGAUGUGAAUGGGAGGGUGGGAACAGGGGAUGGUGCCCCCACAGGGGCCUCUAUCCUAGGUUCUUAAAGCAUCAAUGCCCUGUAGGAAUUCAGCCCAAAACACUCAGGAGAAAAUCCCACCUUUCUUUUUUCUGUUGAGAAAAAAGGAAUAAAAAACUGCUUCAAUUUUUCA
rnacentral:lncRNA from 1 species